UAGGGAAUCUUCGGCAAUGGACGAAAGUCUGACCGAGCAACGCCGCGUGAGUGAAGAAGGUUUUCGGAUCGUAAAACUCUGUUGUUAGAGAAGAACAAGGACGUUAGUAACUGAACGUCCCCUGACGGUAUCUAACCAGAAAGCCACGGCUAACUACGUGCCAGCAGCCGCGGUAAUACGUAGGUGGCAAGCGUUGUCCGGAUUUAUUGGGCGUAAAGCGAGCGCAGGCGGUUUCUUAAGUCUGAUGUGAAAGCCCCCGGCUCAACCGGGGAGGGUCAUUGGAAACUGGGGGACUUGGGUGCAGAAGAGGAGAGUGAAAUUCCAUGUGUAGCGGUAAAAUGCGUAGAUAUAUGGGGGAACACCAGUGGCGAAGGCGGCUCUCUGGUCUGUAACUGACGCUGAGGCUCGAAAGCGUGGGGAGCAAACAGG
rnacentral:rRNA from 1 species